CUUCAACCCACUGCUUCCUGACUCGCUCUACUCCGUGGAAGCACGCUCACAAAGUUCCUGACCUGGCCAUCCCGGGGUGCCCUUGACCAGCCCCGUGUCUCCUCAGGGUGUCCCAGCACCAGCCUGGCACAGAGUGGGGCUCAGUUAGAGUAUGUGGGAUGUUGGUUUCGCCAGGCACGUGGGCCGUGGCCCGGCUGGGUCGGCUGAAGAACUGCGGAUGGAAGCUGCGGAAGAGGCCCUGAUGGGGCCCACCAUCCCGGACCCAAGUCUUCUUCCUGGCGGGCCUCUCGUCUCCUUCCUGGUUUGGGCGGAAGCCAUCACCUGGAUGCCUACGUGGGAAGGGACCUCGAAUGUGGGACCCCAGCCCCUCUCCAGCUCGAAAUCCCUCCACAGCCACGGGGACACCCUGCACCUAUUCCCACGGGACAGGCUGGACCCAGAGACUCUGGACCCGGGGCCUCCCCUUGAGUAGAGACCCGCCCUCUGACUGAUGGACGCCGCUGACCUGGGGUCAGACCCGUGGGCUGGACCCCUGCCCACCCCGCAGGAACCCUGAGGCCUAGGGGAGCUGUUGAGCCUUCAGUGUCUGCAUGUGGGAAGUGGGCUCCUUCACCUACCUCACAGGGCUGUUGUGAGGGGCGCUGUGAUGCGGUUCCAAAGCACAGGGCUUGGCGCACCCCACUGUGCUCUCAAUAAAUGUGUUUCCUGUCUUAACAAAAA
ensembl:lncRNA MEG3 maternally expressed 3